rnacentral:RNase_P_RNA from 2 species
GGAGUCGGCCAGACAGCCGCCGCGCGGGCAACCGCGCGGAGGAAAGUCCGGGCUCCACAGGGCAGGAUGCCAGGUAACGCCUGGGCGCUAUAAGCCGGGGACGCGAGUCCCCGACCCAAGGCGACGGAAAGUGCAACAGAAACAUACCGCCGAUGGCCUGGACUUUGACGCGCAAGCGGCAAAGUCCUUCCUUUCAGUGGGUGUGGCGAAAGCCAUAUACGCCAAGGGAACGGGUCAUGCGCGUCAGCGCAUGGCCAAUCCCCGCAAGGGGAUGGGCACAGGCAAGGGUGAAAUCGUGCGGUAAGAGCGCACGGCCGCGCCGGCAACGGCUGCGGCGGGCAAACCCCAUCCGGAGCAAGGCCAAAUAGGCAGACGUUGAGGCGGCCCGCCGAGUCUGCGGGUAGGCUGCACGAGGCGAUGGGCGACCAUCGUCCCAGAUGAAUGGCUGUCCACGACAGAACCCGGCUUACCGGCCGGCUCCCACU